UCCGUAGGUGAACCUGCGGAAGGAUCAUUAAUGAAACGAAGGACGCUCUGUUUAGAGGUCCGACCAAUCAUUUACCUUUACACUGUGCACAUACUACUUUUUUACACCAAUUUUUAACGCAUUAGUUUUAAGAAUGUAAGAUCAGUCUCGAAAGAGCAUAAAAUAAACAAAACUUUCAGCAACGGAUCUCUUGGCUCUCGCAUCGAUGAAGAACGCAGCGAAAUGCGAUACGUAAUGUGAAUUGCAGAAUUCAGUGAAUCAUCGAAUCUUUGAACGCACCUUGCACUCUUUGGUAUUCCGAAGAGUAUGUCUGUUUGAGUGUCAUGAAACUCUCUACCCCCUCGUUUUGUAAUGAAAUGCAGCGUGGGCUUGGAUUAUGGCUGUCUGUCGGCGUAAUUGCCGACUCAGCUGAAAUAUACGAGCAACCCAGUUUAAAACCCUGACGGCUUGACUCGGCGUAAUAACUAUUUCGCUGAGGACGUCUAACCUUUUAAAUCGUUAGUGGUGCUUCUAAUGCAUUUAUAAUUUAAGCUUUAGACCUCAAAUCAGUCAGGACUACCCGCUGAACUUAAGCAUAUCAAUAAGCGGAGGAAAA
rnacentral:rRNA from 1 species